rnacentral:rRNA from 1 species
UACGAAGGGGGCUAGCGUUGCUCGGAAUUACUGGGCGUAAAGGGCGCGUAGGCGGAUGUUUAAGUCAGCGGUGAAAGCCCAGGGCUCAACCUUGGAACUGCCAUUGAUACUGGACAUCUUGAGUACGGGGAGAGGUGAGUGGAACACCGAGUGUAGAGGUGAAAUUCGUAGAUAUUCGGUAGAACACCAGUGGCGAAGGCGACUCACUGGCCCGUUACUGACGCUGAGGCGCGAAAGGCGUGGGGAGCAAACAGG